AGACAAAAUUAAUCACUCCAACAAAGAGAUAAGAGCAAAUAUAGUUAGCAAAAGAUUACUUCAAGAGAGAGAGACUCUGAAAAAAAAAUCCUUGAAAUGAAGAAUACAACAAAUCAAAUAAAAAACUCAAUAGAAGCAUAACCAACAGACUAGAUCAAUUGGAAGAAAGAAUGUCAGAUAAUGAACACGAAGUAUACAAUCUGGAAAAUAAAGUUGAUCACACAGUGAAGAUAGUAAGAAACCAUGAACAGAACAUCUAGGAAUUAUGGGACACCAUCAAAAGACCAAAUCUAAGAGUUAUUGGGAUAGAGGAAGGCACAGAGUUUCAAAACAAAGGAAUGCACAAUCUCUUUAAUGAGAUAUCAGAAAAUUUCCCAAGCAUGAAAAAUAAAUUGGAAAACCAAAUACAAGAAGCUUACAAGACACCAAAUGUACAAAAUUAGAACAGAUCUACACCAACGCACAUUAAAAUGAAAAUGCCUAGCAUGCAGAAUAAGGAUAGAAUAUUAAAAGCCGCAAGAGAGAGAAAUCAGAUUACAUAUAGAAGGAGACCAGUUCGUAUCUCAGCAGAUUUUUCAACCCAGACCCUCAAAGCCAGGAGAUCGUGGAACAACAUAUACCAAUCUCUGAAAGAAAAUGGAUGCCAACCAAGAAUCUUAUAUUCCACAAAACUAAGCUUUAGAUUUGAUGAUGAAAUAAAUACCUUCCAUGAUAAACAAAAGUUAAAAGAAUUUGCAAUAAGAAAGCCUGUACUACAGAACAUCCUCAGCAAAAUAUUCCACGAAGAGGAAAUGAAAAACAAUGAUGAAAAUCAGCAGAGGGAGGUAUUACACUAAAGGAAAAUCUAAUCAGAGGAAAAAACAAGUCACAUUAAAUACCAAAAAUAAAUAAAAAUGGCUGGGAAUACAAAUCUUGUCUCAAUAAUAACUUUGAAUCUUUUUUUUUUAAUUUUUUAUUGUUGGCUGUUC
rnacentral:lncRNA from 1 species